GAGAUACCUCAGUUGGUUAGAGCAUGAUGCUGACAAUGUCAAGGUUGCAGGUUUGAUCCCCCUAAGGGACA